UGUGGUGGAUUNCGGCCCGUAUAACGUUAAUGAUUACUAGAUGAUGUUUCCAAAGAGUCGUGUUGCUUGAUAGUGCAGCACUAAGUGGGUGGUAAACUCCAUCUAAAACUAAAUAUAACCAUGAGACCGAUAGUAAACAAGUACCGUGAGGGAAAGUUGAAAAGAACUCUGAAUAGAGAGUUAAACAGUACGUGAAACUGCUUAGAGGUUAAGCCCGAUGAACCUGAAUAUCCGUUAUGGAAAAUUCAUCAUUAAAAUUGUAAUAUUUAAAUAAUAUUAUUAAGAAUAAUGUGCAUUUUUUCCAUAUAAGGACAUUGUAAUCUAUUAGCAUAUCCCAAAUUUAUCAUAAAAUAUAACUUAUAGUUUAUUCCAAUUAAAUUGCUUGCAUUUUAACACAGAAUAAAUGUUAUUAAUUUGAUAAAGUGCUGAUAGAUUUAUAUUAUUACAGAGCGUUAAUUUUUCGGAAUUAUAUAAUGGCAUAAUUAUCAUUGAUUUUUGUGUUUAUUAUAUGCUCUUGUAUGAUUAACAAUGCGAAAGAUUCAGGAUACCUUCGGGACCCGUCUUGAAACACGGACCAAGGAGUCUAACAUAUGUGCAAGUUAUUGGGAUGUAAACCUAAUAGCGUAAUUAACUUGACUAAUAAUGGGAUUAGUUUUUUAGCUAUUUAUAGCUAAUUAACACAAUCCCGGGGCGUUCUAUAUAGUUAUGUAUAAUGUAUAUUUAUAUUAUUUAUGCCUCUAACUGGAACGUACCUUGAGCAUAUAUGCUGUGACCCGAAAGAUGGUGAACUAUACUUGAUCAGGUUGAAGUCAGGGGAAACCCUGAUGGAAGACCGAAACAGUUCUGACGUGCAAAUCGAUUGUCAGAAUUGAGUAUAGGGGCGAAAGACCAAUCGAACCAUCUAGUAGCUGGUUCCUUCCGAAGUUUCCCUCAAGAUAGCUGGUGCAUUUUAAUAUAUAUAAAAUAAUCUUAUCUGGUAAAGCGAAUGAUUAGAGGCCUUAGGGUCCAAACGAUCUUACCCAUUCUCAAACUUAAAUGGGUAAAAACCUUAACUUUCUGGAAAGAAAUUUCAGGGUAUGAAAAAAGG
rnacentral:ncRNA from 1 species